GACGAACGCUGGCGGCGUGCUUAACACAUGCAAGUCGAACGGAAAGGCCCUGCUUUUUGGGGGUUCUCGAGGGGCGAACGGGUGGGUAACACGUGAGUAACCUGCCCUUGACUUGGGGAUAACUUCAGUAAACUGGGGCUAAUACCGGAUAGGAGCUCCUACUGCAUGGUGGGGGUUGGAAAGUUUCGGCGGUUGGGGAUGGACGCGCGGCUUAUCAGCUUGUUGGUGGGGUAGUGGCUUACCAAGGCUUUGACGGGUAGCCGGCCUGAGAGGGUGACCGGCCACAUUGGGCCUGAGAUACGGCCCAGAGUCAUACGGGAGGAAGGAGUGGAGAAUAUUGCACAAUGGGCGGCAGCCGGAUGCAGCAACGCCGCGUGCGGGAUGACGGCCUUCGGGUAGUAAACCGCUUUAGCCUGUGACGAAGCGUGAGGGACGGUAAUGGGUAAAGAAGCACCGGCUAACUACGG
rnacentral:rRNA from 1 species